UUUCUCCCUUUUAUUUUCACUGGUUUCACAUCAUGUCCAGAAUAUUUUUAUAAUGCCCCAUCAGUCCUUGUCUAUAAAGGUAGAAUACUGGAAUUUCCACGAACCUGUGUUUUAAAUUUAGGCCUACAUAGUAACAUAAUUUUAAAAAUUUUUGUACCAUGGUUGUUCAGGUCAGAAGAGGAGACACUGGAUUCUGGUACCAGGGUGGAACGAGGAGAAGCGUUAGGAUUAAAUUCUCUGCUCAUCACUGAUGUUUCUCCCCGCUCGCCCUCUCAUUUAUUUCUCAUCGGGAAUUUCAUACAUGGAUGCCACCAACCUAAAGAGUGAGGGCUGUUAACACACUGAACUUGUUUGACUAUUGUCUUGUCCAGGGAAACCAAGACAACAAGUAUUAUAAAAAAAUAUUAUAUUUAUUCAAGAAAGAAAAAAAAACAUGGAGGGACACCGUUCACAGAUCUGUCAUAGGAGCUUUCUCCCUCUCCCCGUCUUGCUCUCUCAUUUUAUCUUGUUGGGAGGUGGUGAAGGCCAGCGCAAUUAGCAUUUUAAACAGCUACACACAGAACAGACUAGUGCAACUUUGCUUCUCCGCAAAAUAACUGGUCAGCAUUCAAUCGUACUAACAGUUACUUCCAUUUAGCCCUGUUAUAUGUCAAAUUCCCAUAACACUAUGUGUGUGGCUGUGAGUGAAAAUUUCUCACAUGUGUGCAAUCAUGACAAAAACACCAAGUAAGCUGAAGCCGAUGUUGACAGUUACGUCCACGUCCGACCUUGCUCUUGUUUUUUCUUAACACCUUAUCUCUUUCCAAACACUUUCUCUGCAAGGGGAUUGUGUUCCCUAACUCUCAUGCAGUGUACUUAGCAUUCUUUGUUAUAUGUAUGAGCAUGUAUUUAUUAAGAGCAUAAGCGUUCUUCAUUGCUGUUUUGAAACACUUCUGAUACUCAAUUUGAAUGAAUAUCAAGUUUUAUAAAGGAUCGUCGGAGAUAGGCACUCAGAAAUAACGACAAGACACUUCUGGCUACCAACAAUAGGCACUUUAUUGGUCCCACACAGAAAUGAUAACACAGUUCCAACAAGUUGUAUGAAGCUAAAGAACUCUUACCGUGUGCCAGUAGGGUGGAGAGCCAACACCCUCAGCAGAGUGAGUUUCAAUACGAGCUAGGCGUUCGUACGGUAACCCAUAGCGGACUCUGCUGAAGUAGCAUCGCUCCCCUCCUUUUAUCCUCUAAAGUGUGUGCAUCGGGAGGGGUGAGUGGCCAUUCUCAUCCCUCCCUACGCCACACUGUUUGUUGUGCCACUUGGUUACACACUUGUAAUCAUUUACUUGCAAUUAUUCCAAAGCAGGUUCAAGAUUUUAUCUCACUUGUGAUCAUUUAAAAGCAUUCCAAAGGGUUUAUCUUAUUUGUAAUCAUUUACUUGCAAUUAUUCCAAAGCAGGUUCAAGCCAAAGGGUUUAUCUCACUUGCAAUCAUUCCAAAGCAGGUUCAAGAGUUUACCUCUGAGAAGAUAUACAUUGGUUAAAGAAAACAUCACAAAAUAUCUUAAUAUACUUUUGCAAGCAUAAUCAAUUCAUUAUUAAUAAUAUGCAAAUUGUCAUGAUUCUGUUUGUGAACAACAGGUGGCACUGCGGGGUUCUCCCUGCAGCUGCACACCUGUUUGUCGUUAUCUAAUUAUUGCUUUAAAAGGACUCAGCACAACCACUCAGUGUUGGGUCAUUGUUUCUAUUUUGCUGUUGUCAUGUUUGUUUCAGUCAGGCUUUGGUCAUUGUUAAGUUUUAUCUUCAGUCAUGUUUUUUUUGAUACUUUGGACUUUGUUUGUUUUGGAUGUAGUUUUCUGAGUUUUAAUACAUUCUUUCAAAUACACCCUGCUCCUCCCUCUUGCCUGCUUUUUGGGGUCCUGUCACGUUAUGCACAAAGCUGGAAAGGAACCGCUUCGUACGUAACAGAAAAAACGAGAAUAAGCGGAUACCCGAAAUAGCCAACACUGACAAAGACUCAGUCUCAAAAUAAUAUUUAUUAUAAACAAAAAAAUCUGUAUAAUAGAAAACAGAAAACACAGGCCAAUAAUGAGAACCAGGAAAUAAUGUAAAUACGACAACGAAAAGCGCUUGCAAAAUAUACAGCAAGGAAAAUGAGUAGACUACAUACAAGAUACAACACGCCUAGAUAUAGCAGGUGCAAUCACAGACAAAUCGGCAGCAGGUGUGCAGGCAGCAGAAUGAACGCAUGCCACCUGCUGCCAAAUACGGAACAUGACGGGUCGACCACCACUUCACAAGGUGACACAAAUGUUUGACAAUUAAAAAACAUGCUGGUAAUUAUUCCUUCAGUUCAAAACCAUAUAUCACUGAAGGAUCCUCGGAUAUUUAUUUCUUGUAUUUGUGAAUACAUAAUUAAUGCCUCAAUAAGUUUAAGGAGGAACUCAAGGCCAAGUGAAAGUUUCAUGUUUAUUUGUUGUUAGUCGUGGCAUUUAUUUAUUUAAAAUGCUGUAUUUUUAGUUAUUUGAGUGUUGGUGCCAUUCUUUUUGUUUUAUAAAUACUUAUAACCUUAUUUUUGUAAAAGUUCUUGAAACAAUAGUGUUGACAAGUUAUUUUGUAAAAUAAAGCAAAACUGACAAAUACUA